ACCUACAGCUAUAUCACCUUGAGCACGCUUGAUCUCUUCUGAUCUUGGAAGCUAAGCAGGGUAGAGUCUGCUUCAUAUUGAAGAGAGUUGUUAGCU
rnacentral:rRNA from 1 species